GGGUAACCUGCCCAAGAGAUCGGGAUAACACCUGGAAACAGAUGCUAAUACCGGAUAACAAUAGAUGAUGCCUAUCAACUGUUUAAAAGAUGGUUCUGCUAUCACUCUUGGAUGGACCUGCGGUGCAUUAGCUAGUUGGUAGGGUAACGGCCUACCAAGGCGAUGAUGCAUAGCCGAGUUGAGAGACUGAUCGGCCACAUUGGGACUGAGACACGGCCCAAACUCCUACGGGAGGCAGCAGGC
rnacentral:rRNA from 1 species